GUGCGCACUUCGGCAGCACAUAUACUAAAAUUGGAACGACACAGAGAAGAUUAGCAUGGCCCCUGCACAAGGAUGACACGCAAAUUCAUGAAGCAUUCCAUAUUAAA
ensembl:snRNA U6 U6 spliceosomal RNA